rnacentral:lncRNA from 1 species
CGCACACCCCGAGUACGGGGCCGUCGCAUUGACGGGCCACCUCCAGGCAACGAUGCCGAGGGGCAACGGGAGGAAGAGGGGCAGGGAAGCGGCACUACCCUGAUUACAGGGUUGCCGCGGGGUCCAGCGGGCUCCAUUUCCCACUCAGGUGCGGAGAGGUGGCUCUCGCCCUCCGUUACAGGGGGCCACGCUCCCCAGGCAGCCAAGGAGCAGCAAGGCAAAAGGCCAACUACAGCAAAAGACCGGAGCCCUGAUUACAGGGAGGUCGCCCAGCACAAAGCCGGCCUGGACACCUAUGGCGCCGGCAACGUUCAAUUCAAAUGUGACUAUGCCCCUGCUAACAGGGAGGUGCUUUGCCCAGAAUGCCUUUCUCUUUCCCCCCUGCAUUUGCAGGCUUCUGCUUCCUCUUCUUCCUCCUCUUCUUCCUCUUCUUCUUCUUCCUCCUCUUCUUCCUCUUCUUCCUCUUCCUCCUCUUCUUCUUCUUCCUCCUCUUCUUCCUCUUCCUCCUCUUCUUCCUCUUCCUCCUCUUCUUCCUCUUCUUCCUAUUCCUCCUCAAACCGCGUCUUCUUUCUCCGGCAGCAGAUCCUGAAAUAUGUGGCACGACACAUUAGACCCGAGCAGCAGCAACCCACCACUCGAAGGACACGGGAAACCCAAAGUACCAAAGAAACGCGGCACACAGACUGCCCAGCUCAAGGGGGAAAGUUCCGUGCCAUCCCACACGUUCCCUAUCCAGUCCGCAAUCAGCCAAAACUCAUUAGAGCUGCUUUCUCACCUCACUGGCACGCUGCAAAAGGCUCCAGCCGGUGCCGCAGGGGAUCACGGAGGCGGGGCAGACUGGGCAAAUGGAGCUGGCACACACAAAAAGCACGCAGCCGAAGGAGUCUGCUCCCCUGCUUACAGGGGACCCCCAGCCCACUGCUCCAUUGCAAAGGGCCCGGGACUACGGGGCACUCGCUCGCCUCUGAAUUACAGGGCAGCCCAUCCUCUACGGCCGAGGGAGGCUCCUUCUCUCCCAGUCCCGGCCCACACAUCACACAUUCCAAGCGCUAAAUAGGGGUGGUCAACCGGUUAACACCAAGGAAUUGUCCA